rnacentral:tRNA from 1 species
AAAAAGGUAAGCUAAUUAAGCUACUGGGUUCAUACCCCAUUUAUAGAAGUUAUAGCCUUCUCCUUUUU